UGGAUUAGGCAUGCAAGUCGAGCGAGGAAAGUUGUAGCAAUACGGCUUAUUCGAGCGGCGUAAGGGGCAGUAAUACCUGGGAACGUACCCUUUGGUCGGGGAUAGCUGCUGGAAACGGCGAGUAAUACCCGAUGAACUCGAGAGAGCAAAGGCUUGCCGCCGGAGGAGCGGCCCAGGCGAUAUUAGCUAGUUGGUGGGGUAAUGGCCUACCAAGGCUUAGAUGUCUAGCGGGUGUGAGAGCACGACCCGCGCCACUGGCACUGAGACACUGGCCAGACACCUACGGGUGGCUGCAGUCGAGAAUCUUCGGCAAUGGGCGCAAGCCUGACCGAGCGACGCCGCGUGUGCGAUGAAGGCCUUCGGGUUGUAAACCGCUGUCAGAGGGGAUGAAGUACUAGUGGGUUCUCUCAUUAGUUUGACUGAUCCUCAAAGGAAGGGUGGGCUAAGUUCGUGCCAGCA
rnacentral:rRNA from 1 species